UACGUAGGGCGCAAGCGUUAUCCGGAAUUAUUGGGCGUAAAGAGCUCGUAGGCGGUUUGUCGCGUCUGCCGUGAAAGUCCAGGGCUCAACCCUGGGAUGCCGGUCGAUACUGCCGGACUAGAGUUCGGAAGAGGCGAGUGGAAUUCCCGGUGUAGCGGUGAAAUGCGCAGAUAUCGGGAGGAACACCAAUGGCGAAGGCAGCUCGCUGGGACGUUACUGACGCUGAGACGCGAAAGCGUGGGGAGCGAACAGG
rnacentral:rRNA from 1 species